UGCCAAGUACAGCAGACCACCAUGCGCCCACUCUUUGACUCCUUCAACCACCAUGCGCGCUCACUCUUUUGCACGCUCCCUACCAUUUUUGACUCCUUCACCCACGCUUCCUACCUUAACAUGUUCAUCUACUCCCUUAAAUAUCUCCCUCACUUACUCCACCAAAUUAUUUUCAUCGGCUCCCCAAGCUCAUUUCACCAGAAAUCAAGUAUUGAGCAAACAAGCAAAAAUCAGAAUACCAACUGAAAUCCUCGCCAAGGCUUUGUGGAUCGUGAGGACUAGCACUGCUAUACCAAUUCAGAGUUAAGAAUAAACGACAGGCAUUGCCUAAUCAGGUUGAUUGGUCGGUGCUGACGGGGCAGAGCUGAGGCUAGGGUUCAACUCCGUAUUUUGUCUUCCGCUGUUGCAUUAGCUCUUAUUUGUCUUAUGUUUCUCUAUCUUAAAAACUUUUAUGUUAAAUUCUGAAUUAUGUUUCUUAUCGAGCUUAGACUCUCAACUCUAGCACUAUGUUAUUUAAUAUUGGUUAUCAGAAGCAUGAAACCAAACUUGUGAUCCUAAGAUUUAGAAUGUUAUUAAUUGAUUACUAUCAGUUGAUUUAUGUCUUUCUUCA